UUGGAUCCACCACUCCAUUCGAA
rnacentral:misc_RNA from 1 species